rnacentral:rRNA from 1 species
AUUAGAUACCCUAUUAUUUUAAUUGUAAAAUUUAAUUAAACUAAAGUAUUAAUAGAUAAAUCUUUAAACUUAAAGAAUUUGGCGGUAUUGUAGUCUUUUUAGAGGAAUCUGUUAUGUAAUCGAUAAUCCACGUUGAAUCUUACUUAUAUUAAUUAUUUCUUGUAUACCGCUGUUUAUGAAUAUAUUAUAAGAUGAUUUUCUGAAUAUUAAAUUAAUUAAUAUUUCAAGUCAAGGUGCAGUAAUAUAUAAGUUGAAUAAUGGAUUACAAUAAAAUUUAUUUAAAACGGAGGAAUUAUUGAAAUGUAAUUUAAAGGUGGAUUUAAAUGUAAUAUUAUGAAGAUUAUUAUUAUGAUUAUUAGCUCUAUAAUAUGUACACAUCGCCCG